GGCCUAGGGUGGAAUUCGAGCAAGGGUACCGUUGAUGCAUCUGAGGAGUGGUGGAAUAAUAAAAUUCAGAUAAACAAAGAAUAUGGAAAAUUGCGAAAAAAGGGCAUUAGUCUUGAGAUGGAUGAAAAGUUAGAUAGGAUGUUUUCGAACACAGUUGCUACCGGUGAACAUGCCUGGGCACCUUCAUCUGGAGUACUACCAACGGAGACAAGAGAGUAGUCCGUAGGACAAAUUGAUUUAGAUGAUGAGGAAGAAAGUGAGACUAUGCAGGAUCUAAGGCAAGCUACUAGGAAGGGAAAAAAAAGAGCGGCGAACCAAGGAGAAUUGCAAAAGAAGAAGGUUGAUAAGAAAGG